AAUGAACGUUGGCGGCGUGGAUUAGGCAUGCAAGUCGUACGAGAAUCGUAGCAAUACGAGGAAAGUGGCGGAAGGGAGAGGAUUACGUGGGAAUCUACCCUCAGAACUGGGAUAGCGGCGGGCAACUGCCGGGAAUACCAGAUAAUGUCUGAGGACCAAAGGUGUAAUUCCGUCCAGGGCUGAGCCCACGUCCUAUUAGAUAGUUGGCAGGGUAAUGGCCUACCAAGGCAAUGAUGGGUAGCGGAUGUGAGAGCAUGGACCGCCGCACUGGGACUGAGAACUGCCCAGACACCUACGGGUGGCUGCAGUCGAGAAUCUUCGGCAAUGAGCGCAAGCUUGACCGAGCGACGCCGCGUGCGGGAUGAAGGCCUUCGGGUUGUAAACCGCUGUCGUAGGGGAGCAAGAGAUGAGGGUACUCCCUCUGAUUUGAGCGAUCCUAGGAGGAAGGACGGGCUAAGUUCGUGCCAGCAGCCGCGGUAAUAC
rnacentral:rRNA from 1 species